UAGAGAUUGUUGUUUGAAAUAAUUUAAUUAAAGAUAAAUCACUUCCCCCGUAGAAAUGUUUUUAAUUAUUUUAUGACAAAUAAACACUCCUUAAAAGAUAAUUGUAGCACAGAAUUU
rnacentral:sRNA from 1 species